rnacentral:sRNA from 1 species
AUUUUCAAAUUUUAAGGGUUAUGGUAGCCCCAAAAGUACGCAAACACCGACUA